rnacentral:rRNA from 1 species
CCUACGGGGUGCUGCAGUGGGGGAUAUUGCACAAUGGGGGGAACCCUGAUGCAGCGACGCCGCGUGGGUGAAGAAGCGCCUCGGCGCGUAAAGCCCUGUCAGCAGGGAAGAAAAUGACGGUACCUGAAGAAGAAGCCCCGGCUAACUACGGGCCAGCAGCCGCGGUCAGACGUAGGGGGCAAGCGUUAUCCGGAUUUACGGGGUGUAAAGGGGGCGCAGACGGCGAUGCAAGCCAGGCGUGAAAGCCCGGGGCCCAACCCCGGGACUGCUCUUGGAACGGCGUGGCUGGAGUGCAGGAUGGCCCGGCGGCAUUCCUGGUGUAGCGGUGAAAUGCGUAGAUAUCAGGAGGAACACCUGUGGCGACGGCUGCCUGCUGGACUGCACCUGCCGUUGCGGCCCGCAAGCGUGGGGAGCAAACAGGAUUAGAUACCCCUGUAGUC